UAGUUGUAAUUUUAAUGAAUGUGCUAUAAACGAAAAAUAGAAAAAAAAAUUUAAAAACUCUUUAUGCCCCAAACCUUAUAUACCUUUGGAUUUGAAAAAAAAAGUAGAUUGAUAUUAGUUUUUUUUCUUCCUAAAUUAUGCCUCCAACUAUCAGUACUUUCAAUACUUUGUUUGUAGGUGUUAAUAUAAUAUGUUUUACGUUGCGACCGUUGGGGCGAACGCAGCAUGUGAUCAAAUGAUGAAUAAUGAUAAAUCAAUACAAAUGUGUACCCCAUAUCAAGAGCAUGAGUAUGUAAAAUUCUCAAAGUACCUCUAGGUAGUUCUAUCAGGAAUGAAUGUGUUAUAAACGAAAACAAAUUGAAACUCUUUAUGUCCCAAACCUUAUAUACCUUUGGAAUUGAAAAAAAAAACCCGUAGAUUCAUAUUAGUUUUAUUUCUUCUCAAAUUAUGCCUAUAAUAUGUUUUACGGUGCGACCGUUGGGGCGAGCGCAGCAUAUGAUCAAAAAAUGAAUUAUCAUAAAUCAAUAAAAAUAAAAGUAGCAACAUAACGCAAAUGAUUUUGAAUGCAAAAUAAAAUAAAACAUUUUUUUUUUUCAUUAUUUUUUCUAAUUUAUGAAAAAAAUUUAUUUAUUGGUAAAAUUUAUCUCAGACACAAUUUUGUUGAAUAAAUAAGAUUUUAACAAUAUGUUCAUUGAAGUUUAUUUCCUCUUUUCUUGCAGCAGACAUUUUUUAAAACUUACAUAAAAAAUUACAGACAUAGGUCCCCCCCCCCGUUUUUUUUUUAAUUUACGUAUAAAAAAAAAACUUGCAGAUCAUAUGAAGAGAAUGUCGCACCCUCCCCCCCCCCCUCACGGGAGCAUGAAAUGGAAGUAGAAAUAAAGAUACCAUUGAGCAGCUAAAGAUAAAAGGCAUAUUACAUAUUCCAAUUCCUCACCCCGGAUGAGAAUUUUUCUGAUUUUGAGAAUUUGUUUUGUUUUUGCUUAUAAGAUUUUUGAGUGAGGCUGCCACGUCCCUUUUCAAAAAACGUUCCAGGAAAUUAGCGUAAAUAUAGUGAAUAAAAUAAAUAUAAGCAUUCAUCCUAAUGAGAGCAAGUUACAACUGUUUCUUAUCUCUAAAGAAAUGUCCCCAUUCGUUAGCUCUGCAUGAUUUUGAGAAGAUUUUGGUAUUUAUAUUUCUGCAAUUUUACAAUAACUAGUUAGAGUAAUUUCUCCUUAUUAUUUUGUCAAAGUUUGCGUCGCUCAAGUGUCGUAUGUUUCUUUAAAAACUACCCUGAAAAAUAAAAUACGCGAAAUAUACUGUUUAAUGUACUUAAAAAGCAUGAUGUUUUUGGAAUUACACAUUUCCUCUGUUUCUCAAAAGUUUCACUUUGAUUCUCGCGAGAAUUUAAGGUGAGAACGUCAUUUUUGGAACUGCAUUGUGGGUCGAAAUUUACUGUCUGAUCAAUGUGUGAAUCCAUUGUGAAGUCACUCGAAAGGACGAUAACUCCGUUAGUCUUAGUCAGCAGUAUUUUUACAAUGCAUAUACAUAGUCUUUUUUCUAUUUUCAUCAUGUUCACGAGAGAGUGUGAAAUGCAAAACCAUAUCUACAAGGAACUGCUGGUUCGAUAAAAACAGAGCAUAACUGGUCUGAGUAACUGACGCCAAAAAAAUCCGUUGAAUCAAUGUGGAACUAGUCCGAAUUUUCUUUUCACACAUGUCUUGCCAGUAGAGCUCGCUUCGUUCGCAAUUAAUGUGAGUUGUAACAAACUGUAUCAAUGUAAUGAUGUACUUUAAAUAAAUAUAUAGUUUUCUUUUUCCUUCUAUAGUAGAAUCUGGGACCAAUAACACUCGUGCAGAAGAUGAGCAAUCUCCUUUCCUGGUUCCUAUUUUGUCUGGAAGCGCAGUGUUAAUAGUUGUCAUUAUUUUUGCCAUCAUUCUAGGGAAGAGACGGCAUCUUUGUCAACAACAAGUGAACAGAAGUGUUUAUGAAGAACAUAGAGCUCCAAUACCAAAUAAGAGUGAAGACCACUACACAGAACUGGACCUCACUGAGGCUCACCAAUACAUCGAGCUGGAUUCAGUACAGGCGGACAUAUCAACGGUGACAGGUCAAUUUGCUUCCAAAUCAGAUAACCAAUACACAGAACCGCAUACGAUAAACCAACAGCUGGAGAUAGACCAAGCAAGGCUUACUCCAGACCAUCCAUAUACCGCACUAGAUACAAUACAGAAUACCCAGACCACCAAUAUACCAAGCGGAAUGCAAUAAAAAUAAACCAAUCAAGGAGAAAAACCAAACUCUCAGCAGUUACCCUUUAUUUAAUAUGUAUAAGUGUGUAUGAUUUUUUUAUCUUUCAUUCUUUUGAAAAUCAACUUGAUAGUUUUCGAUCAUAUUGCUAAAAUACCUAAAGUAUUGCACACAGCGAUAGAUAGAGACCACAUGUAUGAUGGAAAUAACAUGACAUUGUAGACAUAGCGUGCUGGAAUGGUCAUUUGCUAAUGAAAAUGUUUUCCUCACAUGUUCACAUCAACUUAUAUAUGCUAUAUCCAUAGGUUAUUAUAAUUAGUUUUUAGUUUUUGUAUCUGAUCAAAGAUCAAAAUUUGAGAUAAGGUGUCUCUAUCAUUUUUAAGCAUUUUUCAAUAUUUUUGAAGUGUGUACCAUACGAUUUUUGAAAAGAAAAAGAUAUAUAAAACCAACGGAAAAUAAGCAAAAUUAUGUUAACUAACAAAUAAAAUCUUAACAUUAAAUAUUAUAGUUCUACCAACAAUAUUUCAGUGGAAAACAAAAUCUGAAAAAUUUAGUCCGAAUUUCCUCAGUUUUGCUAAACGUCAAACUUUGUCAGAGCCUAAUUCCAUAAUCAAGUAAAUACAAAUAUUGUUAUGUCAAUAAUAAUUCAUUUCAUAAAUAUUUUUUGUAUUUAAAACAA